GACGAACGCUGGCGGCGUGCUUAACACAUGCAAGUCGAACGGUAAGGCCCUUCGGGGUACACGAGUGGCGAACGGGUGAGUAACACGUGGGUGAUCUGCCCUGCACUUCGGGAUAAGACUGGGAAACUGGGUCUAAUACCGGAUAGGACUCCGGACUGCAUGGUCUGGGGUGGAAAGCUUUUGCGGUGUGGGAGGGGCCCGCGUCCUGUCCGCUUGUUGGUGGGGUGAUGGCCUACCAAGGCGACGACGGGUAGCCGGCCUGAGAGGGUGACCGGCCACACUGGGACUGAGAUACGGCCCAGACUCCUACGGGAGGCAGCAGUGGGGAAUAUUGCACAAUGGGCGCAAGCCUGAUGCAGCGACGCCGCGUGAGGGAUGACGGCCUUCGGGUUGUAAACCUCUUUCAGCAUCGACGAAGCGAAAGUGACGGUAGGUGCAGAAGAAGGACCGGCCAACUACGUGCCAGCCGCCGCCGUAA
rnacentral:rRNA from 1 species